rnacentral:rRNA from 1 species
UACGGGAGGCAGCAGUGGGGAAUAUUGCACAAUGGGCGCAAGCCUGAUGCAGCCAUGCCGCGUGUAUGAAAAAGGCCUUCGGGUUGUAAAGUACUUUCAGUCGUGAGGAAGGUGUUAAGGUUAAUAACCUUAGCAAUUGACGUUAGCGACAGAAGAAGCACCGGCUAACUCCGUGCCAGCAGCCGCGGUAAUACGGAGGGUGCGAGCGUUAAUCGGAAUUACUGGGCGUAAAGGGCACGCAGGAGGUUAAUUAAGUUGGAUGUGAAAUCCCCGGGCUUAACCUGGGAAUGGCAUUCAAGACUGGUUAGCUAGAGUCUUGUAGAGGGGGUAGAAUUCCAUGUGUAGCGGUGAAAUGCGUAGAGAUGUGGAGGAAUACCGGUGGCGAAGGCGGCCCCUGGACAAAGACUGACGCUCAUGUGCGAAAGCGUGGGGAGCAAACAGGGAUUAGAUACC